CGGUGAAAUGCGUAGAGAUUAGGAGGAACACCAGUGGCGAAGGCGGCUUACUGGACUGUAACUGACACUGAGGCUCGAAAGUGUGGGGAGCAAACAGGAUUAGAUACCCUGGUAGUCCACGCCGUAAACGAUGGAUACUAGGUGUAGGGGGUAUCGACCCCCCCUGUGCCGGAGUUAACGCAAUAAGUAUCCCGCCUGGGGAGUACGGCCGCAAGGUUGAAACUCAAAGGAAUUGACGGGGGCCCGCACAAGCAGCGGAGCAUGUGGUUUAAUUCG
rnacentral:rRNA from 2 species